CCGGCUGCGAGGGGCGGGCGGCUCUCGGUGUGAGGGUCUCUCCGAGGAGGGGGUGUCGGUGUGAGGGUCUCUGCGGGGAGAGGGCGUUGGUCUGGUGGGCUCUUGUGAGGAGGGGGCAGCCGGCUGUGAGGGGUUGUGUGAGGAGGAGCCCUUGCUGUGAGGGGCUCUUGGGGAGGGGUCGUUGGUGUGAGGAGAGGAUAACCUAACCAGCUGUGAGGAGGGGUUUUGGCGUGAGGGGCAGUUUUAGGGGACAGGUGAGGGGUUGCUGAGGGAUAGGGGAACAGGAGAGAGCUGGCUGAGGGGAGUUUGGGAUAGACGGUUUGUGGAAGCCCCAUGUGGCAACACUGAGGGGUGAGAGGGGCCAGAGGGAGAAGAUGGUGGGGGGCUGCUGCUGAGGCCAUUUGAGCUCAGACAGCAUUUUGAGGGGCAGCAGGCCUGAGGGAGAAUGAGGAAAGGUGUGGAGUGGGCAGAGAGAUGAGGGGUCCAGCAAGGGAGUACAUGGGGCCAGGACGUGUGUAGGGGAGAGGCCUGGCGUGGGUGGGAGCUUUUUGGGGGAAAUGUGGCAGAGGACAGUGGGUUUGGGGCAGGCUGGCUGUGGUCAGGCCAUGGAGCCAAGUGGAGCUGCCUCUUUGGCCAGGAGCAGCUCAUCUACAGGGGGUGACAAUCCUAGGAGGUCGUAGGUGACUGCUCUAGUGCAGCUGCCCUCACCAAAUGGGUGUGUUUCAGCCUGCCCUUGGCCGAGCUAUAUCUGGGUUGUGGCCAGAAGAGGGAAAAAAAAUCUCAUGGCUUGAGCACAUGGUCUCCUAAACUGUACCCUUGGCUCACAGUGGUGGGUGUUGAACUUGAUUACAGCUGGAGGAAUUCUAAACAGUCCACUUCUCCUUGUCAUGGUGUUUGAGCGCAUUGUGCUCCUGUCUGAACAGAGGAAAUCACUGAGGUAAUUCCUGUAUGUGGCAAAGUUGUCUGUGCCAGCCUGGAAGCUUUGUCCAAAAGCAGCAACAGUUACUGUCUCUUGGUUUCUCAAAGCUGCAGCUCCUCACUGGUUCCACAGAGCUGCUUUGUCACAAAGUGUCAGGAACUUUGUAGAAGUCACUGCAUCCUCUGCUGUGCUUGGGAUCAACUCUGGCAUCUGCCUGAAUGUUUGUAUGUCCCUCCUGCACAGACACUUACCUGAGACCAAGGCCUGGAUGAUGUUUGCAGACUAGGCAUAUCUUUGCUGGAUGAUCUGAUGGAUUCACAUCAUGAUGUACUUGGGCAUAAGAGAUGGAAUCUCCAUAAAAGUGUUGUCCAUGCUGCAUUCAGCUGUGGGGAUGUUGCCUUAAAUGAUUGAUCUAGUGUUUGAAGUCCUAUUGCUUGAUUUACAUCUUGAUUUUUAGUAUCUUGGCAGACCUUUCUCUCACACAGUAAAGCAUAGCUGGGGUUUUAGUAGAAUUCUGCCCUUAGGUCAAGCUCAAACCUCAUUGCUCCUCCCUGCCUUCAGCUGGAAAUGGACAGCCACCAUUUGUGACUGAAUAUCCUGAGUCACCGAUUCCCAGCUGGCAUGUGCACUGCAGUUCCGUCUCUUCCUUUCCGACUGCACUCCCUAGAGGCGAUUGGGAACAACUGCAGUCGUCAGCUCCAGCGUGGUGUGCGCUCUUGCCGGGAUCCACACAAUUGGUGGACAACCCCUGUCUACGUCUAUGGGAGGUCAAAGUCCACUGCAAGCAGUGACUGAUACGAUUCCCUGUGUAAGUCAGGCUGGACUGCCUGUGCCUCAGGUUCUAACAGCAGGGGAGUUUGUGCAAGAGCACCUUGGUAGGUGUUUGUCUGGAUUUCUCUGUGGUCCCUGUGACGAUCCUAGGAAGCAGGAGAAGAUCCAGAAUUGUCUGAAAGCCAGGAUUCUUUGAAAUCCCAGAGAAGUAAUGAUGAGCAAUGUGGCUGAACCUGCUAGCCUGCUUCCCAUUCUGCUUCUUGUAUGGGUCCAAGAAGCUGCCUCCAGUUUAUACAAUUGCACUCUAGUAAACAAUUUUGCAUGCAGCUAUGGGCAGCAGAUGUUACUCAUGCCUGUGUGAACACUUCAGUGUUUUUACAACAGGGAUGAUCCUCAGAUUGAGUCCUGUUAAACAAUGGAUGUACCCACCAGAAGUCCCACUGGUCUCAGCCAUUCUGUUACAGCUUGCUCAGAACACUUUGAAGGAUGGUCACGCCAUCCUUCUUUGGCCACUCAAGGGGAUUGACUCACAAAUAUGAGCAAAAUAAAAUUAGAUGGCUUAAGUGGCUGCAGCCCCAGCUGUGUCCCCACUGCCCAAUUCCCAGAAGGUCAUCCCUGCAGCCAGGCUGGCUGUGGAAGGCAACUCCAGAGCUGCUGUAGUGACAGCCCAUUCUUCAGGGUGUUAAUGCUUGUCUGGCUCCUCUGUGAAACAGUUUAGGAAGCUUAACCAGAAUAAAAAUGUGCACUUUUCCAUCUGAAGAAUUAUUUUUUAGUUUAAUUUCUCAAAUGGGCUCUGAGAAGCAGCAGUGUUGCUGUGAGGGCAGGGCAGAGAGAGAUGACCUUCCCUUUUGGGAGCAGCCAUUACGUCAGUUUUGCUGCCUCACAAAACUAUACCCUAUGGUUAUUUUUGGUACUAGACUGCCUUAAUUUUCUGGAGAGUGAAUGAAGGAUUAGCAUAGUGUGCUUAUGACAUUUGGAAACUAAGCUUUCAGGAAAAAAAAUCAUAAUUCAGCAUGUGCUGAAAUGGAAAUGCUUAAUUUGCUGGGGAUUGGAAAGAUGAGUCAAAUAUGAAUUUUUUACAAUUUUCACAAUUCAGCUAGGGGGUUAAAUCCUUUUUUAAUUUUUUGCGUUUUGCUGCUUUUUAAGACCUCUAACCCAAUGCCUACUAUCCAGCUGCCUCUAGAGAGAGAAGUCUUUAAAGAGACCAGCUUUGUACCUAUAAAUAAUGUACACAGCAGAGUACAAAAAUGGAGUCAAGGAGAAGCUCCUCCUUACCUGAAUGUAACUGCAGCAGCUCUGUGAGAAUAGCUGUGGUCAGGCUGUGAGCAGCACUCGUACCCUGCCAUCCAUCUUGGCUAAACUGCUGCUGAGAACUAAUGCUGAGAUUCCAACACUUGAAUAUCAGCUGGUAAAUCCCAACUGCCUUGUGCUGAAACACAUGAGAUGCCAGCAGCCGAACGUGGCAAGGUUUUGAACAGUGUGGUUAUAAUCCUACUUGGAACUAAAGGUCUGCUGGAGUGCUUUGUUAAGUUAGAUGUGCUGGAAUAUGGAGAAUUUCUCAAGUCUGAGCCCCUGCUAUAAAUGAAAACACUGUGGCAAAAAAAUGUAAAUAAAUGCCAGACAUAUUUUGUGUAAAAGCCCUUCCCAAUAUCUAUAAAUAUGGUAAUUUUGGGGUUUCCCAGUUUUGAGUUUUAAACAGGAGACAGACACAUGAAA